AUGUUCAUGUGGCUCCGAUAGUGGGAUCAUUUGCCCACCUGCCUCUGGGAGGACGUCUUGAAGGCCGCCAGGCUGUGCUUGUCAGAUGCUGAGGAAGCACUGUUGGGGGCCCCUGGUCUCAGAAGUUUUGUCAGCCUGACUUCUCGAGAGAAGAACUAUGUCUACCUCGGUGUUUCUCCCAGAAUGAAUGCUGCGUCCCCCAGUUCCAGGCCAUGCACUUUCCUUUGAACAUCGUCUGCAUCCUACAUCCCUGCCCCUCUGCCCACAUGCCGCUCCUUCCUGUUUAGCUUGGAUAGCAGGCUGGCUCUGGCCAUCAGAACCAUUGCUGACCUUGGCUGUCUUCACCUGCUGGGCAGACACAAAGUGAGGCCAACAUCUGGACCCAGAGGAGAAAUUAGAGGCCAUUUGUGGAAGCACUCAGGAGGCCGGAAGGCCUCUGUCCAAGGCCAAAACACCACACCAUUGUUUUCCAGUUCCAAACAGGAAGGGGACCUGGGUGUGCUUGGGCAAAGGAAAGGGAACCUGAGAUGGAUGUGUAAGUGUGGCAGGUGAUCUCGAGUUAAAAAGGGGCCACGGUCUCUGCUAAUAAACAGCGUAUACUGUUCUGUAUCCUGA
rnacentral:lncRNA from 1 species